rnacentral:rRNA from 1 species
CGAUUCCUACGGGGGGCAGCAGUAGGGAAUCUUCCACAAUGGGCGAAAGCCUGAUGGAGCAACGCCGCGUGGGUGAAGAAGGUCUUCGGAUCGUAAAACCCUGUUGUUAGAGAAGAAAGUGCGUGAGAGUAACUGUUCACGUUUCGACGGUUUCUAACCAGAAAGUCACGGCUAACUACGUGCCAGCAGCCGCGGUAAUACGUAGGUGGCAAGCGUUAUCCGGAUUUAUUGGGCGUAAAGGGAACGCAGGCGGUCUUUUAAGUCUGAUGUGAAAGCCUUCGGCUUAAACGAAGCAGUGCAU